CAGGCCUAACACAUGCAAGUCGAACGCCCGAGCAAUCGGGAGUGGCAGACGGGUGAGUAACGCGUGGGAACAUACCCUUCGGUUCGGAACAACGCCGGGAAACUGGCGCUAAUACCGGAUACGGCUGAGAGGCGAAAGAUUGAUCGCCGAAGGAUUGGCCCGCGUUCGAUUAGCUAGAUGGUGCGGGUAACGGCUCACCAUGGCGACGAUCGAUAGCUGGUCUGAGAGGAUGGCCAGCCACACUGGGACUGAGACACGGCCCAGACUCCUACGGGAGGCAGCAGUGGGAAUAUUGGACAAUGGGCGCAAGCCUGAUCCAGCCAUGCCGCGUGAGUGAUGACGGCCUUAGGGUUGUAAAGCUCUUUCGCGCACGACGAUAAUGACGGGAGUGCGAGAAGAAGCCCCGGCUAACUUCGUGCCAGCAGCCGCGGUAA
rnacentral:rRNA from 1 species